rnacentral:rRNA from 1 species
CCUACGGGAGGCAGCAGUGAGGAAUAUUGGUCAAUGGACGCAAGUCUGAACCAGCCAUGCCGCGUGCAGGAAGACGGCUCUAUGAGUUGUAAACUGCUUUUGUACGAGGGUAAACGCAGAUACGCGUAUCUGUCUGAAAGUAUCGUACGAAUAAGGAUCGGCUAACUCCGUGCCAGCAGCCGCGGUAAUACGGAGGAUUCAAGCGUUAUCCGGAUUUAUUGGGUUUAAAGGGUGCGUAGGCGGUCGGAUAAGUUAGAGGUGAAAUCCCGAGGCUCAACUUCGGAAUUGCCUCUGAUACUGUACGGCUAGAGAGUAGUUGCGGUAGGCGGAAUGUAUGGUGUAGCGGUGAAAUGCUUAGAGAUCAUACAGAACACCGAUUGCGAAGGCAGCUUACCAAGCUACUUCUGACGUUGAGGCACGAAAGCGUGGGGAGCAAACAGGAUUAGAUACCCUUGUAGUC